rnacentral:rRNA from 1 species
AUCCUGGCUCAGAUUGAACGCUGGCGGCAGGCCUAACACAUGCAAGUCGAACGGUAACAGGGAGAAGCUUGCUUCUUGCUGACGAGUGGCGGACGGGUGAGUAAUGUCUGGGAAACUGCCUGAUGGAGGGGGAUAACUACUGGAAACGGUAGCUAAUACCGCAUAACGUCGCAAGACCAAAGAGGGGGACCUUCGGGCCUCUUGCCAUCGGAUGUGCCCAGAUGGGAUUAGCUAGUAGGUGGGGUAACGGCUCACCUAGGCGACGAUCCCUAGCUGGUCUGAGAGGAUGACCAGCCACACUGGAACUGAGACACGGUCCAGACUCCUACGGGAGGCAGCAGUGGGGAAUAUUGCACAAUGGGCGCAAGCCUGAUGCAGCCAUGCCGCGUGUAUGAAGAAGGCCUUCGGGUUGUAAAGUACUUUCAGCGGGGAGGAAGGGAGUAAAGUUAAUACCUUUGCUCAUUGACGUUACCCGCAGAAGAAGCACCGGCUAACUCCGUGCCAGCAGCCGC